UUGGAGGGCAAGUCUGGUGCCAGCAGCCGCGGUAAUUCCAGCUCCAAUAGCGUAUAUUAAAGUUGUUGCAGUUAAAAAGCUCGUAGUUGAAUUUCGGGAUCAAUAUAUCGGUCGUGCCUUGGUACGUACUGGUAUCAUUGGUUUCUCCUUUCUGACGAACCAAGAUGUCAUUAAUUUGGUGUUAUGGGAAGUUAGGACUGUUACUUUGAAAAAAUUAGAGUGUUUAAAGCAGGCUUUAGCUUGAAUACAUUAGCAUGGAAUAAUGAAAUAGGACGUUCGAACCUAUUUUGUUGGUUUCUAGGACCAACGUAAUGAUUAAUAGGGAUAGUUGGGGGCAUUAGUAUUCAAUUGUCAGAGGUGAAAUUCUUGGAUUUAUUGAAGACUAACUACUGCGAAAGCAUUUGCCAAGGAUGUUUUCAUUAAUCAAGAACGAAAGUUAGGGGAUCGAAGACGAUCAGAUACCGUCGUAGUCUUAACCAUAAACUAUGCCGACUAGGGAUCGGAUGAUGUUAAUUUUUUAAUGACUCAUUCGGCGCCUUACGGGAAAC
rnacentral:rRNA from 1 species